UCGAGAAUUUUUCUCAAUGGGGGAAACCCUGAAGGAGCGACGCCGCGUGGAGGAUGAAGGCUUUCGGGUUGUAAACUCCUGUCAUUUGAGAACAAGGUGCGAGUAGUAACUAUACUCGCAUUGAUAGUAUCAGAAGAGGAAGAGACGGCUAACUCUGUGCCAGCAGCCGCGGUAAUACAGAGGUCUCAAGCGUUGUUCGGAUUCAUUGGGCGUAAAGGGUGCGUAGGUGGCGCGCUAAGUCAGGUGUGAAAUCUCGGGGCUUAACUCCGAAACUGCAUUUGAUACUGGCGUGCUUGAGGACUGGAGAGGAGACUGGAAUUCACGGUGUAGCAGUGAAAUGCGUAGAUAUCGUGAGGAAGACCAGUGGCGAAGGCGGGUCUCUGGACAGUUCCUGACACUGAGGCACGAAGGCCAGGGGAGCAAACGG
rnacentral:rRNA from 1 species